rnacentral:rRNA from 1 species
GUUCGGGGCCUUAUGAAAAAACGCCAAGCCACCGCGGCCCUUUUUCCCAUUCCCGGCCUUUCACUGGCCCUUGGCUCACCAUCUUCUUUCCUCCCUUGUCCCCUGACUCGGGGGUUAACCUGAAUGCAGCCCUUAAACGAGUUUUUUGUAGAAAAAAAAAAAACGAACAAGGUUUCCGUAGGUGAACCUGCGGAAGGAUCAUUACAGUAUUCUUUUUGCCAGCGCUUAAUUGCGCGGCGAAAAAACCUUACACACAGUGUUUUUUGUUAUUACAAGAACUCUUGCUUUGGUCUGGACUAGAAAUAGUUUGGGCCAGAGGUUUACUAAACUAAACUUCAAUAUUUAUAUUGAAUUGUUAUUUAUUUUAAUUGUCAAUUUGUUGAUUAAAUUCAAAAAAUCUUCAAAACUUUCAACAACGGAUCUCUUGGUUCUCGCAUCGAUGAAGAACGCAGCGAAAUGCGAUAAGUAAUAUGAAUUGCAGAUUUUCGUGAAUCAUCGAAUCUUUGAACGCACAUUGCGCCCUUUGGUAUUCCAAAGGGCAUGCCUGUUUGAGCGUCAUUUCUCUCUCAAACCUUCGGGUUUGGUAUUGAGUGAUACUCUUAGUCGAACUAGGCGUUUGCUUGAAAUGUAUUGGCAUGAGUGGUACUGGAUAGUGCUAUAUGACUUUCAAUGUAUUAGGUUUAUCCAACUCGUUGAAUAGUUUAAUGGUAUAUUUCUCGGUAUUUUAGGCUCGGCCUUACAAUAUAACAAACAAGUUGACCUCAAAUCAGGAAAGUACGUUGUU